rnacentral:rRNA from 1 species
AUACGUAGGGAGCGAGCGUUGUCCGGAAUUACUGGGUGUAAAGGGAGCGUAGGCGGGAAGGCAAGUUGGAUGUGAAAACUGUGGGCUCAACCGACAGACUGCAUUCAAAACUGUUUUUCUUGAGUGAAGUAGAGGCAAGCGGAAUUCCUAGUGUAGCGGUGAAAUGCGUAGAUAUUAGGAGGAACACCAGUGGCGAAGGCGGCUUGCUGGGCUUUGACUGACGCUGAGGCUCGAAAGUGUGGGGAGCAAACAGGAUUAGAUACCCUGGUAGUCCACACCGUAAGCGAUGAUUACUAGGUGUGGGGGCGGCAAGCUUCCGUGCCGGAUUUAACACAAUAAGUAAUCCCCCUGGGGAGUACGGCCGCAUGGUUGAAACUCAAAUGAAUUGACGGGG